GCGURCUGGUCGAGACUUAUUCCCCAGGUACCGUCAGAKUUCUUCCCUGAGAAAAGAGGUUUACAACCCGAAGGCCUUCAUCCCUCACGCGGCGUCGCUGCGUCAGACUUUCGUCCACUGCGCAAAAUUCCUUGCUGCUGCCUCCCGUAGGAGUCGGGGCCGUGUCUCAGUCCCCGUGUGGCUGAUCGUCCUCUCAAACCAGCUACCGAUUAUCGCCUUGGUAAGCUAUUACCCUGCCAACUAGCUAAUCGGACGCAAGCCCCUCCUCAAGCGCCUUACGGCUUUGUUGAUAAAGCAUCGCUUCACCAACACAUGCGGUAUUAGCUCCAGUUUCCCGGAGUUGUUCCCCACUUAAGGGUAGGUUACUUACGUAUUACUCACCCGUCUGCCACUGCUCUGAUUGCUCAAAGCCGUUCGACUUGCAUGCAUAAAGCACGCCGCCAGCGUUCAUCCUGAGCCAGGAUCAAACUCUAAUCGAAUUCCCGCGGCCGCCAUGGCGGCCGGGAGCAUGCGACGUCGGGCCCAAUUCGCCCUAUAGUGAGUCGUAUUACAU
rnacentral:rRNA from 1 species